rnacentral:tRNA from 1 species
GCGCGAUUAGCUCAGAUGGAUAGAAGCAGCACCCUACGAAGGUGAAGGUCUGGGGUUCGAGUCCCUGAUCGCGCGCCA